rnacentral:misc_RNA from 1 species
AACGGUCUAUACCUGCGGUACCUGCGGAAGGAUCAUUAACGAGUGUAACUUACCCUUUUUUUAAAAGAGGGUAGUACCUCCUGUCCUUUGUAGGCCCCUUUUUAUUGGGGGGCUUUUUAAGACUUUCUGCUUCGGCGGGGUUAUUCCCGCCGGAACACCCUCAAAAAACUCUUCAAAAACUAAUUCAGUCCGAGAAUUUUUGAAAAUAAAAAAAACUUUCAGCAAUGGAUCUCUAGAUCG